rnacentral:rRNA from 1 species
UACAGAGGGGGCGAGCGUUAAUCGGAAUUACUGGGCGUAAAGCGCACGUAGGUGGCGACGUAAGUCGGGUGUGAAAGCCCCGGGCUCAACCUGGGAAUUGCAUUCGAGACUGCAUUGCUGGAGUACGGAAGAGGAGGGCGGAAUUCCCGGGGUAGCGGUGAAAUGCGUAGAUAUCGGGAGGAACAUCAGUGGCGAAGGCGGCCCUCUGGACCAGUACUGACACUCAAGUGCGAAAGCGUGGGGAGCAAACAGG